AUACGGAAGGUGCAAGCGUUAAUCGGAAUCACUGGGCGUAAAGCGCUCGUAGGUGGCUUUGUAAUCGGGGGAGUGUGAAAGCCCACGGCUCAACCGUGGAAUUGCACUUGAUACUGCAUUGCUUGAGUUCGGGAGAGGGUAGUGGAAUUCCAGGUGUAGGAGUGAAAUCCGUAGAGAUCUGGAGGAACACCAGUGGCGAAGGCGACUACCUGGACCGAUACUGACACUGAGGAGCGAAAGCGUGGGGAGC
rnacentral:rRNA from 1 species